rnacentral:rRNA from 1 species
UACGAGAGGCCCAAACGUUAUUCGGAAUUACUGGGCUUAAAGAGUUCGUAGGCGGCGCAGAAAGUAGGGUGUGAAAGCCCUCGGCUUAACCGAGGAAUUGCGCUCUAAACUACUGUGCUUGAGGAACCUAGAGGUGAGCAGAACUGAUGGUGGAGCGGUGAAAUGCGUUGAUAUCGGGAGGAACACCUGAGGCGAAGGCGGGCUACUGGGCCGAUACUGACGCUGAUGCGCGAAAGCCAGGGGAGCAAACGGG